rnacentral:lncRNA from 1 species
GCGCCUCGAGGCUCGGCGCGCACGAGCAGCCCUGUUUGUUUGUGUUGAGAGAUUGGAAAUGGCGGAGAGCAGAGACCAAAGCGAUAACUUAGGUUUGCGUUUGCGAGUGCGCCGUCAUUGAAACACUGAAACCACCCACAAGUGAUUAUCGGAGUUACGUACGGUUUGCAGCCGCCGAUGGGAUACGAGUCAGAUACGGAGAAGAGGGGUUUUCGGAAAAAAAGGUUUGGAUUUUAGCAAGCUGGUUAGCGAGCUAAGCUAACCGUGCUGGCGUUAGCUAGCUUGAAGUGGUGUGUGAUUUUAACUACGCAGGCUUGUUUGUCAACAGAAGCUGACGUUAAACCGCUAGCGAGCCAGCUAGCCUACAACUUUUGCCCGCUUCCCAAGCUAACCCACUCGGGUUUGAAACAUGUUUUCUUUAUGUGACUGUAAAAUCAUCUCCCGAAGUAAGAGUGGAUAAAAAGUCAAACAUCUGAGUAAGUUAAGCUGGUUAGCUAAGUUAGCUAACUGGCUUGUUUCACGCGCUGUCCAGGCUGCUGUUUGCAUGGGAGUUAAUCCUCCGGCGUGACACUUUCUGCAGGACAACCGAGGAGGGAUCUUAAUUCACAAGUUACACGGAGGACAAAUACAGGUAAGCGAAUGAGUAACUCCGCCGCAGAGUGCAUGACAACAUGUCAAACCGUGGUAAAACUGCAGCCGAGCAUAUGCUCAGGGCCUCCAAACACGCCUGACUCAUUGUUGAUUUUUCCACAUAACGUUGCUACAAUUCACCGACACCAUCUUCCCUGACUGAAUACAUAACGUGCAGUGGUGCUCGCUGGGACAUUUUGCUCCUUCGCCACCUGCAAAGAAAGACACCAGGCUGCUCUUACUUUCAUUAAUCCAACUGUGCAACAACUCAAACUGUGCACUACCGUUCAUUCAACAACAUGCUCGUUUCGUUUUAUUCAUGCAAUUCUGGCUUUUAGCGUGGAUCACAUUUACAAAUCCCGUUAUCAGUGUUUUAUCUUUUACUUGCUGCACAAAUCUGUAGCUGUUACAUAAUGCGAACUUGUAGUAUUUACUCAAAUUUUGAACUACAUCUCGUAUACUAUACGAGUUUUCCCACAGUAUUGGCUUGCACACGACCAGUCACAACAUUACUAACACUUGUGCAAUCUAAUGCAAUCCAAUACAACAGCUCUACCACAAGUUCCACUUUCAGGAAGCUUUAAAACUUUCAGUUUUUGCUGGCAUGAUCAGAAAUAUGACUAUUCUACUUUGAAUUUAUUGUUGCAGAUGCAAUAAUUGGUAUAUUGUAGUGUAUUAAUUAUAAAGAUGUACCAUAUACUUGUAUAUUUAUCAGUCAUUAAGAAAUGUGAGGAGCAAAUUGUCAGGAGCACCUUUUGAUACAAUGGACUUAAGUGCAACAGCAAUGCCUACUCCAACUUAGGAGUAGAACCGUUUUUUUAUCAACCUGAAAUUAGUCUUUAUCAAUAAAAUAAAUGGAUGCAUGUCCAGUUACUCAUGAUGACGGGAAAAUAGAGCAGAUGAAAUGUGCGGAUGCAUGCGUGUUCAAGGCCUUUUUAAUAUCUUAUAAACAUUUAAUACACAUCUGCCUCCAUACCUUCAUGCUUCAGGCAACUGCAGCCUCUCCAUUUCUGUGGGAGUAAAAAAAAAAAGAGAGGUAUUUAUGAUUCAGCUUAUGAGAGAAGCAGUCUGAUCGGCCUCUAGGUGUCGCUGUGAUUUGUUUGGACCUCCUACAAACCUUUGUCCUGAAUGCACAAACCUAAAGGGCAGUUUGACCUCUUGACAAAAAGCCUGUGGUCAUGUUAGGCUAACGCACACAUGCAGCUCCUGCGUGGGGGUAGAAAGAUGCAAAAAAGUAGUUUAGUAUUUGGUAUAUGUUGAAUAAGAUGUUAGCCUUUGAUUAGCGUUAAUUUAAUGUGGACUGAUUCACCUUAAUUGACCCCAGUUUCUAAAGUGAGUCAUUGUGGGCCUGGUGCUUUUUUGUCAUACCCUUGCAUUGAUUGGGACUCUAGAAAAUCUCAGAGCAAAUAUAAAUAGUAGAGAAAAUAAAUAGUAAAAUAUGUCUGCCCUAUCUAAUUACCCCCUCACCCCCCACCCCAUUUUCCGGCCAUCUAUUCAUGAGCUUAAUCGCUGCCAUGAUUAAAAUGUGAUUUUUGCCUGUUGAUUGUGUUAAUUUGGGGCUUUAUGAUCUGUCAGUAUGAACUCUAAACCAUAAACUUGAAAAACAUUUUUAAAAACAUCUGCACAGAAAGUGUCAUGAGGUACAAACAGCUGCCUUAAAAAUCUGUUUCUGGAGACUUUCAAACCCAUGCUGUACCAGCUGACACUUGUGUCUGUAUACCUUCAUUUUUAAGACAUGUUCCUCAGCUUGAUUAAUGCCUUUUUAAGUUAAUGCAACUUUUGCAUGAAAUAAUGUUAGAUCAGGCUUAUCAGGUUCAAAUUUGUAUAGUUAGUUAAAAGGUGCACAUGCAAAAUUAGUAAAACCAGUUGUUUCAAAAUAGACAUACAUGCUUCUGUCGUGGAGAGCAGCUGUGUUCAUGAUUUAUCAUUUGUGUUUUCAUCUGUUAUGUAUUAAUGAAUAGUCCUAAAGCAAGCAGGUUAAAAAUGUAAUAAAUACAUUUUAAACUUCUCAUAGAAAAUGAUCAUUUGUUGCCAUCCUCACAACACAAGUUACACCAGUGAGGUAUAGUGUAAUGGUCCUUUAUCAGCCUAUGGAGGCCCACAUGCCCGCCAAACUGAAAGGCUCGUUAGUACAAACGAUGAAUCAAAUAAUUUUCUUGAUAUGCUCUUUUACCUUUGGGCAGCAGCUGCUGCGUUUAUUACUUCGCUUUCAAUUUGUCAUUCAUACAUUUAACUUUUGGAGCUGUUAGUAUGACAGUUGUUGAGAUGCUUUAAUGAAUUCGCAAUUUUAAUAGAGUGAGCUCUGUGUCACCUGUGCCUCGUGGUGCUGUCUGUUUCUGAUGCUUCAAAAUGCUUCUAUAUAAUGUCAACAUGUUUAAUGUAGCUGUUGAUUCAUUUAAGUUGUAACUGAGCAAACACAACUGAUGCGUCACUUUAUCUGUCACACAUAUCAGCAGAUAUUUUCAUACCUGUCACAAUCAAUAAUCACCUUCUUAAGCUUUCAACCUGCUGAUACGAUAUCAUGCAUCCUCAAGACUAAGUCAAGUAUUUAUUGACUGUCAUGCAAACCUCCCAGUCAUUGGCUUCGAUUGACAGAAUGUUAAUGGCCUAUUUCAUUUGCUGCUUAGUGCAUCAUUAUCAAAAUAAUAACUGUUAGCUGUGGGUUUAAAAGGACAUUUGGGUAUGAGUUUUACUUUGACCUUUGUGUGCGAGAAAGCCUGCAGUUGUUUGGGUUAUCAGUUGUCCUGUUUGGGGAGAGUUUGGUCUAUAAACGGUUAAUUAUGUCUGAUAGGGAGGCUGAAUUGUUAAACAAAAGUUUAGAGUUGGUUUUCUAUUUUUACAAGUAGUGAAAAGAAAGUCUCAGGGCUGUUUGGACUUGUGAUGUUCAGUAAGGUCACAUUUUUGCAUCAAAGAUAUGACACACAGAAGAGAAAGUUCAGUUUGAUUCUGUCUUUUCUAUGUUGCAGGUGUUACAAUAUCCACAUACCGCUACUGUGCAACUUUAAAGAAAAAUAGUACAUAAUGUCUCUAAUGAGCAAUCCUAUAAUAUUGGGAUGCUGUGCAAAAUGAUGCUAAAGGCAUGGAUUGAUGGUUUGUGAAUGAUUUAAACCCUGUAUUUAAUUGCAAAUAGUGCAAAACCUGGUAUUGUUGUCAUGACGAUAUAAAGUUUGAUGCAAGGGACAACAGAACACGAUAAGAGUUUAGUUAUGUUUGAAGAUCAUCACCUUACCUCCCUACCAUUGUGGUAGCUCAACAGUUUUGCAUAAAGUCGCGAGGAAGUUGGGGGUUGCAUCAUCUGCAGGAGAAAUCUCUGUAGAAAAUCGAAAAGCAUGAAAAUCAGCAUUGGAUGGCCGUGAUCUAUGGGCCCACAGGCACUACUGCAUGAAAAACAGACAUGACUCUGAUCAUGGGUUUAAAAUCACUCCCACAAUCUCUAUCAUGCAAAGAGAGGACCAUAGUGUAUAGAAAAAUAAUGCAGAAACAACAGCCAUUUAUUUGGGUUGAGUCUAUCACAUAUGGUCUUUGCUCUAGUUUUAAUAAAAUAAAGCAGUCGAAUGAUUUGAAAACCAUCACAUUCUGUUUUUGUUGAUAUUUUACACAGCGCUCUAACUUUUUUGCAGUUAGGGUUGUAAAAGUUAGCUUCAUGUAGCCACUCAAAGUAACAAAACCCUGUCAUCCUAAUGAAAACUUGAUUCUCUUAAAUAAUUUGUUUAGCUAGUUAAUUGAAUUCUCCAAAUUGAAUUGACCACUUUGUUUCAUUGGAGCUCCAUGAUAGUGGGCAGGCUGUCUGUUUGUGUAGUACUGGAGUGUUGCAGACUUUGCCAUGCUCUGAGUAAAAACAUUGAAGCUGGGCCUCUCUGGGGUAAGAUGUGGCCCAGAUAAGACUCAGGAUAUAGAGUUCACUGUAGGCCUCUAUUAUUCAGUUCAAAGUUUGCCACUCUGCUGCCACAGUGACUGCCUGAGGACACGCUCACUGUAAACAACACAACAAAAACACUGGAGUAAGAUAGUAAAAGGAGGUAUUACCUCUUUUUUAACACUUCCUCACACUUGAACUGAAGGAGUCAGUGCUACUGUGCAACACAGUGUGAUGUUUUUUCAAGGAAGGAUGCCUUUUUCCUGAUAUCUUAGAUGUAAUUGUAGCAUGCAGACGAAAUGAAGACCCUUAACCUGAUCUUAUCAAUGCACAGCGACACACUUCAAUGCUACAGUUUUACUGGUGUGGAUGUGGAGGCAGAUGAAUGAGAGGGCUGUAGUAGUCUAUUCCCUCAUGAUCAUACAAUCUUGUGCAUUUUAUAUUUAUCCUAUCAAAAGCAACAGACAAGGCAUUUCCUUUAUUAGCUCUGCAAACACAAGCUGUGAAGCCCACCUAAGGAUGAGCCACAUUCAAAGCAAAUAGUUGGGAGUGGGAGCCCUCCUCCUCCUCCCAGCUAAGCUCUGUGUCUGUAUGGAGAAUGAGCAGCCAUUUUAGCACUCAGCAGUGCUGCUGCAGCCUGCCUGACACUGUCACAGCAUUCUUCUGCUGGAGCUGUAGUAUGUUAGCAUGCGGUUUGGUUUUUUUCAACCCCCCUGAGGACACCUGCAAACAACCUGUUAAGAUGUGACUCCGAUGAUUUGAUUUUAAGGGCAGGGAGCGCUGAUGAAUGUUGCAUGUGUUGGUAGAUGGAUCUGUGAGGCUCACCUGUCACUGGUUAGAAACUUUAUUGGAUGGUAGCUCAUGAAUGUCUUAGCUCUUGGUGCCUUAUUUUAGCUUCUUGUUGCUACUCACAGUUAAAAUUCAUACCACAUAUAAAUAUUAGACUGUAGCUCUACUUAAGCACUUACUUGACAUGACCUGAAUCAGUAUCUCUAAAUCAGCAUCUUGUGUUCUAGUUUCACUUAUCUUCUUACAUUUUGUCCUUAAUUCUCCUCAUUUAUAAUGCUGCAUCUUGAUCUAUCUAAGAUCCAUGUCAACUUUAUAAGAAUGUAAAUUAAUGCAGAUCUGCAGUGCAGUGCUUGUCUUCUGAUUUUCUUCAUAAACGUCUUCAAAGCAACAAAGCUCAAGCUCUACUCAUCCCCUCUUUUCGAAAUCAGGUCCAGUAGCUUUUCAGUUUUCUAUCCCUCUGGAGGUGGGGUCAGUCAAAUAUCAGCAAUCAGUGAGGGAGAUCUAUCAUUGACAUUACUGUGGCUCUUGCAGGAUUGUGGCUGUGACGGAUCUUCAUCAAACCUGGUGCAGAGAUUUACUGUGAAACUUAAUGACUUUUGUGGUCCCUGGAUUUUUCCUUUUGCCUUAUCUAUAAGUCAUAGUUGUAUCCCUGAAGGAUUGGCACCAUGUCCUAGAAGUUUCAAUGGCAAUUUAGAUUUACUGUAACGGAGUAGUUUAAUGGUUGGUAAAGGCUCAGGAGAAAGUCAAAACUGAAAAUGAUAUUUUCAACAAAACCAUUUUAUUAGGAUUGAGUGCAGCUCUCCUUUAGGUUUUACCUGCUGACAUUGCACGUUGCACUGUGGUACGUCGUCUAGGCCAAGCCUCAGAUUUGUUGUCGCUGACAGCUGCUUUUUCAAAGUCGACAUUCAGCCCUACAUUCGUCUCUUAUCUUGCAAUCUAGGGUCUAGAACCCAAACACUUGCACAAGGCCUGUCUCAGAUGUUUUGGUGUUGUAACUGUCAAGAGUGUCAUUCAAUGGUCAGGUAACGACGAAAGUGCCGUGCUGCUGAAUCAAAGCCAGCUACUUCCCACAGACUGAUGUGUUGAUCAGCUGUAUGUUUUGAGUUCAAACACUCUUAACAGUUGUAACUGUUAAGAGUGUCAUUCAAUGGUCAGGUAACGACGAAAGUGCCAUGCUGCUGAAUCAUAGCCAGCUACAGACUGAUGUGUUGAUCACAUUCUCAAUGUUGCUUUCGAUGUAAAACAGGUUUCAUCCCGGCAGUGUCAUUGCUUUGAAAUAGCUAACACUCAAAGGCUAAAUCUGUGUCAGACUGAUAUUGGCUGACAUAUUACCCAGUCGUCCCCAACUAUUAUCGAAUUUGAACUCAUCCUGAUGUAAUUGUCUGACCUUAAACUCUGCUCAUACUGGCCUCUGUACACACUCCCUCUGUGUGUUGACCAAAGUAAAGACAAACACAUAUUUUGCAUAGCUGCAUGCAUGCUUGCUUUUAUAUCUAUAUGUUUUUAGA